UACGUAGGGUGCAAGCGUUAAUCGGAAUUACUGGGCGUAAAGCGUGCGCAGGCGGUUAUGUAAGACAGAUGUGAAAUGCCCGGGCUUAACCUGGGAAUGGCAUUGGUGACUGCACGGCUAGAGUGUGUCAGAGGGGGGUAGAAUUCCACGUGUAGCAGUGAAAUGCGUAGAGAUGUGGAGGAAUACCGAUGGCGAAGGCAGCCCCCUGGGAUAACACUGACGCUCAUGCACGAAAGCGUGGGGAGCAAACAGG
rnacentral:rRNA from 1 species